CCCUUAGACGUUCUGGGCCGCACGCGCGCUACACUGACACAGGCAACGAGCUUUCCUUUACCGAAAGGUAUGGGUAAUCUUUUGAAACUGUGUCGUGCUGGGGAUAGAUCCUUGCAAUUUUUGAUCUUAAACGAGGAAUUCCUAGUAAGCGCGAGUCAUCAACUCGCGUUGAUUACGUCCCUGCCCUUUGUACACACCGCCCGUCGCUACUACCGAUUGAAUGGCUUAGUGAGGCCUCAGGAUCCGCGCUUAAUGUGCGGAGAAUUUGGACAAACUACGUCAUUUAGAGGAAGUAAAAGUCGUAACA
rnacentral:rRNA from 1 species